ACUUAGCUUGCUUUGAAAGUUUCUAGUGGCGAACGGGUGAGUAACACGUGAGUUACCUGCCUCGAAGUGGGAGAUAGCCCGGGGAAACUCGGAUUAAUACCCCAUGUGAUCGUAAGAUUAAAGGCGGCUUCCGCUGUCGCUUCGAGAUGCGGCUCGCGGCCUAUCAGUUAGUUGGUGAGGUAAAAGCUCACCAAGACGAUGACGGGUAGCUGGUCUGAGAGGACNACCAGUCACACUGGAACUGAGACACGGUCCAGACACCUACGGGUGGCAGCAGUCNAGAAUCAUUCGCAAUGGACNAAAGUCUGACGGUGCGACGCCGCGUGGAGGAUGAAGGCCCUAGGGUCGUAAACUCCUGUCAUCAGGGAGUAAUUACUUAUGUAGUAACUGACAUAGGUCUUGAUAGUACCUGAAGAGGAAGGGACGGCAAACUUCGUGCCAGCAGCCGCGGUAAUACGAAGGUCCCAAGCGUUGUUCGGAUUUACUGGGCGUANAGCGUCUGUAGGGCGGGAUGGUAAGUCAGAUGUGAAAUCCCGGGGCUCAACCCCGGAACUGCAUCCGAUACUGCCAACCUAGAGGGUCGGAGGGGAGUCUGGAAUUCUCGGUGU
rnacentral:rRNA from 1 species